CUACGGGCCGCAGCAGUGGGGAAUCUUAGACAAUGGGGGCAACCCUGAUCUAGCCAUGCCGCGUGAGUGAUGAAGGCCUUAGGGUCGUAAAGCUCUUUCGCCUGUGAUGAUAAUGACAGUAGCAGGUAAAGAAACCCCGGCUAACUCCGUGCCAGCAGCCGCGGUAAUACGGAGGGGGUUAGCGUUGUUCGGAAUUACUGGGCGUAAAGCGCGCGUAGGCGGAUUAGAAAGUUGGGGGUGAAAUCCCGGGGCUCAACCUCGGAACUGCCUCCAAAACUGCUAGUCUAGAGUUCGAGAGAGGUGAGUGGAAUUCCGAGUGUAGAGGUGAAAUUCGUAGAUAUUCGGAGGAACACCAGUGGCGAAGGCGGCUCACUGGCUCGAUACUGACGCUGAGGUGCGAAAGUGUGGGGAGCAAACAGGAUUAGAUACCCCUGUAGUC
rnacentral:rRNA from 1 species